CUCCACAACUCCCUCUCUCCAUGGCUCCGACUCCAGCUCCAGCUCCCCAGCCCUAGAUUUAUGUAAGUGGAUUGUUUUGCAAAAUGCUAUGUAAAUUGAAUCUGCUUAUGUUUGAGCAUAUGUUAUAUGCUAUUAGUGGAUUACAAAGAUCUAACAUUAAAAAUAGUUAUAGCAAAAUGUGAACACAAAGUUGCAUGAUAAACAAGGCUGCAUUUAUUUUCAUAAGGCACAUUAAAUGCAAGCUAGGACCUCACUUAUUAUGGGGCUACAUUUUAUAACCAAAAAAUUUAUUGAAAUUAAGCAAUUUUUAAUAAUGAUAAAGGAAGAAAAUUCUUCAAUUAAAUAUGUACAAAUUUAUAAACUAUGGGUUAAAGUCUACUUUUCUAAACAUCAAAAAAUUUUUAAAAUAUUUUUGACCAAGAAUAUUUCAUAUGUAAAUGCUUCUCAUUUUCAGUGCUGAAAUGAAUAAAAAGUUAUUUAAAAACUACUUUGUGCCAAAUAAAAUCAGAACCUGCUAUUGUUAAGCAUUGAAUCAGA
rnacentral:lncRNA from 1 species